GUGGGGAAUAUUGCGCAAUGGGGGAAACCCUGACGCAGCAACGCCGCGUGAUUGAAGAAGGCCUUCGGGUUGUAAAGAUCUUUAAUUGGGGACGAAAUAAAUGACGGUACCCAAAGAAUAAGCUCCGGCUAACUACGUGCCAGCAGCCGCGGUAAUACGUAGGGAGCAAGCGUUAUCCGGAUUUACUGGGUGUAAAGGGCGAGUAGGCUGGCCGACAAGUUGGGAGUGAAAUCCGGGGGCUUAACCCCCGAACUGCUUUCAAAACUGUUGGUCUUGAGUGAUGGAGAGGCAGGCGGAAUUCCCAGUGUAGCGGUGAAAUGCGUAGAUAUUGGGAGGAACACCAGUGGCGAAGGCGGCCUGCUGGACAUUAACUGACGCUGAGGCGCGAAAGCGUGGGGAGCAAACAGGAUUAGAAACCCGGGUAGUCC
rnacentral:rRNA from 1 species